GGGGGCAUAGCUCAGUUGGGAGAGCAGCAGACUGAAGUGUAUUGUUACGGACUCACCGUUCUGAAGGUCCCGCGUUCAAUCCGCGGUGCCCCCA